GACAGAGGUGCCAAGCGUUAGGCGGAAUCACUGGGCUUAAAGCGUGUGUAGGUGGAUUCGUAAGUACCUUGUGAAAUCCCAUGGCUCAACCAUGGAACUGCUCGGUAUACUGCGAAUCUUGAGCCACUUAGGGGCUACCGGAACAAAUGGUGGAGCGGUGAAAUGCGUAGAUAUCAUUUGGAACGCCAAUGGUGAAAACAGGUAGCUGGGAGUGUGCUGACACUGAGACACGAAAGCCAGGGGAGCGAACGGG
rnacentral:rRNA from 1 species